rnacentral:rRNA from 1 species
AAUCAACGCUGGCGGCGUGCCUCAGACAUGCAAGUCGAACGCGAAAGUCCCCUUCGGGGGACAAGUAGAGUGGCGCACGGGUGAGUAACACGUAGGUAAUCUACCUUUGGAUGGGGAAUAACAACCGGAAACGGUUGCUAAUACCGCAUAAUGCAGCGGCACCUAAUGGUGACAGUUGUUAAAGCGGGGGAUUGAAAGACCUCGCGUCUGAAGAGGAGCCUGCGGCGGAUUAGCUGUUGGUAAGGUAACGGCUUACCAAGGCGACGAUCCGUAGCCGGCCUGAGAGGGCGGUCGGCCACACUGACACUGACAUACGGGUCAGACUCCUACGGGAGGCAGCAGUCGGGAAUUUGGGCAAUGGGCGAAAGCCUGACCCAGCAACGCCGCGUGAAGGAUGAAAU